AUUUUAAAUAAUUUAUUUGGCCAAUUAGCCUUUUGAGGGUUUCUUAAUUUCGUUGUAAUGUGACAAGUUAUUGACAACGAAGGAGGAAGAAUUUUCUAUGGAUCUGUUGCCUAGAACAGCAUUCUCAACCAGGGACAAUUUUGCCUCCCAGGGAACAUUGGACAAGGUCUGGAAAUAUUUUUUCUCAUCACAGCUCAGGGGUGAGGUGCUGCUACUGGAAAGUAGGGGUUAGAUUUUACAUUUUACAGUGCACGGGAUCCCCCUCCCCCAACAAAGAAUUAUGCAACUCAAAAUGUUAGUGGUGCCGAGGCUGAGAAGCCCUUAGUGUGUAUCAUUUUCACAAUCAGAAUAGAAAAUUGGGUUAUUUUCAUUUUGGUAGGAAAAAUGUUACGUAAGUUUUCUGUUCAUAGCUUCUGCCCACUUACCUAUUGGAGUCUGGAUGUUUUUCUUAAAAAGGACGUUCUUUCUAUGGUAUAAAUAUGACAUCUGCAUUUAUUUCUUUUGAUGCAAGUAUUUUCCCCAAUGUAUUACUGUCCUUUUCAUUUUGUAUUGCAACUUUAAGACCUUUUUAACAUAAAGGAACGUUUAAACUUCAGGCCCUCUCAACCCGGGACUCUCUUUCUCAUCACUUGCUGUAUAUGCUUGGGCUAUAUUGCUCAAGAUUGGCUAGGUCAUUCAAGCCUUCUGGUUAAUGGUUUACUUCUUGGCUUACCCUUUGCAAAAGGAUGUGUAGGAGCAACACCCUCUGAAUAAUAAAGUCCUAUUCAACAAAGUGGUACAAAUCAAAAGCAAAUGGUGGGCAGGCAAGAGGUUUAGGUUUUUGGGCGUCCUUGAGAAAGACCUCAGUGUCCCCAUUGGUUACAUGGCAGGUUGGUUUGCAGCAUCUCUGAGUUAUCUUUUAAUUCUGUGAUUCUAUAUAGAAGGGAAGAUGACCAUAAUUAUUGUUAUACCCCCCCCGCCCCCCCCCCCCCCCCCACAACCACGCUACCACAUGGACCCAUAAUGAUCUCUACAUAAUGAUAUCCCACAAUCUGAAGGGGACUUUGUCCUGUGGAACCACUCUAUGCCCCCUAGGAAGCAGGGUGCCAGACUGAGUACUACGGAGGAAACUAAGAAAAUCCCCAAGCAGUUUGGGAAAGGACUUUUUGGUGAGAUGCUCCCAUUCUUUUCAAGAGAGAGAAGUUUGGGUGCUGCUCGCUGAGGACAGCUUCAUGGAGACAUCUGCUUGAAUGGGCACCAUCAAUUUGUGACCUGGGACCUGUAAUCUCAUUUGAACAGAAAUUCUUCAUAAACAUCAAGACUGACUGGUAUGGAGCUGGCCUCCUUCCAAAUAUGCCUCCCAAACUUAACCACACGGACCCAUCAUCAGUGGUACAGGCAUUCAGGGGUGGUAGAUUGCCUUGACAUGCUUUUCUUUCCCAAAUGAAAAUAGUCUACGUUGUUGUUCUGCUUUUUAACAUGGUACACAUUCAUCACAAUAAAAAAAAAAUACAGAAAAAUACUAGGGUAAGAUAAGCUACUCAAAACUCAUGACUCAGGAAUAACUGCUAUUAGCAUUUUGGAGAACAUCUUUCCAGAUAUCUGUAUGUAUGCAAACAUGCCCCAAACCCACAGAUACUGUUUGUAACUUGCUGUUCUCCCCUCAUUGCUAUGUCAUAUGUAUCUUUCUGUGAUACAGACAUACAUAGUCAUUUUUAGUGGUAGCAUAAAAUUCUAGUGUCUGCAUGUGUCAUAAUAUGCUUAAUCCCCUAUUGUUGGGCAUCUGUCCAAUUUUACAGUAUUGAUAAAGCGUUUACUGGUCAUGAUGAA